rnacentral:rRNA from 1 species
UGGGGAAUCUUGGACAAUGGGGGCAACCCUGAUCCAGCCAUGCCGCGUGAGUGAUGAAGGCCUUAGGGUCGUAAAGCUCUUUCGCCUGUGAAGAUAAUGACGGUAGCAGGUAAAGAAACCCCGGCUAACUCCGUGUCAGCAGCCGCGGUAAUACGGAGGGGGUUAGCGUUGUUCGGAAUUACUGGGCGUAAAGCGCACGUAGGCGGACCAGAAAGUUGGGGGUGAAAUCCCGGGGGCUCAACCCCGGAACUGCCUCCAAAACUAUUGGUCUAGAGUUCGAGAGAGGUGAGUGGAAUUCCAAGUGUAGAGGUGAAAUUCGUAGAUAUUUGGAGGAACACCAGUGGCGAAGGCGGCUCACUGGCUCGAUACUGACGCUGAGGUGCGAAAGUGUGGGGAGCAAACAGGAUUAG